CAAGAUGUAUUAAAAGCCAUCCAAGGUCAAGACUCUGAUCAGACUCUUCAUGUCUCAUGGCAGGCCAUUGACAAAAACUCUCAAGUGCCCAUGCUCAAUCUCGCAAAUACAGAGAAGUGUCUAGAGAUCUUUCUCUCCACCGAAGGAAGUCAAUGGCUAGGAAGAAAGGAUUAAAGAACUUGAGAGUCUUUCUCAAGCUCAGGGACAAUGAGAUUCUACUUGAGGAAUCUGAGAACACCUCAGCUGACUAGCAAAAAAGGGCACGCUUAGAAAGGGAAUGGAAAAAAUAUAGGAAGAGAUCAUCAAGCUGCAAAGGAAGCUUGGUGAUUCAAGAGCAAUUUUGCAGGUUCUUCAAGCAAAAUCUCUCCUGCCCACAUGUCAAAUCUGUGAGAAUCCACCUUGAUUAAGUCCUUAUACAA
rnacentral:sRNA from 2 species